rnacentral:rRNA from 1 species
AUUGAACGCUGGCGGCAUGCCUUACACAUGCAAGUCGAACGGUAACGGGCCUUCGGGUGCCGACGAGUGGCGAACGGGUGAGUAAUACAUCGGAACGUGCCCGAUCGUGGGGGAUAACGAGGCGAAAGCUUUGCUAAUACCGCAUACGAUCUACGGGUGAAAGCAGGGGACCGCAAGGCCUUGCGCGGACGGAGCGGCCGAUGGCAGAUUAGGUAGUUGGUGGGAUAAAAGCUUACCAAGCCGACGAUCUGUAGCUGGUCUGAGAGGAUGAUCAGCCACACUGGGACUGAGACACGGCCCAGACUCCUACGGGAGGCAGCAGUGGGGAAUUUUGGACAAUGGGCGCAAGCCUGAUCCAGCCAUGCCGCGUGCAGGAUGAAGGCCUUCGGGUUGUAAACUGCUUUUGUACGGAACGAAAAGCCUUCUUUUAAUACAGGAGGGUCAUGACGGUACCGUAAGAAUAAGCACCGGCUAACUACGUG